rnacentral:rRNA from 1 species
AUUGAACGCUGGCGGCAGGCCUAACACAUGCAAGUCGAACGAGUGGCGGACGGAUGAGAAAUGUCUGGGACACUUCCUGAUGGAGGGGGAUAACUACUGGAAACGGUAGCUAAUACCGCAUACCAUCGGAUGUGCCCAGAUGGGAUUAGCUAGUGGGUGGGGUAAAGGCUCACCUUGGCGACGAUCCCUAGCUGGUCUGAGAGGAUGACGAGCCACAGUGGAACUGAGAUACGGUCCAGAAGCCUACGGGAGGCAGCAGUGGGGAAUAGUGCACAAUGGGCGCAAGCCUGAUGCAGCCAUGCCGCGUGUAGGAAGAAGGCCUUCGUGUUGUAAAGUACUUUCAGCGGGGAGGCGUUACCCGCAGAAGAAGCACCGGCUAACUCCGUGCCAGCAGCCGCGGUAAUUC